CAGUCGCCGCGGGAAUACGAAGGGGGCUAGCGUUGCUCGGAUUUACUGGGCGUAAAGGGCGCGUAGGCGGACAGUUUAGUUGGGGGUGAAAGCCCGGGGCUCAACCUCGGAAUUGCCUUCAAUACUGGCUGUCUUGAGUACGGGAGAGGUGAGUGGAACUCCGAGUGUAGAGGUGAAAUUCGUAGAUAUUCGGAAGAACACCGGUGGCGAAGGUGACUUACUGGCCCGUUACUGACGCUGAGGCGCGAAAGCGUGGGGAACAAACAGGAUUAGAUACCCCAGUAGUCCCUGUCUCUUAUAC
rnacentral:rRNA from 1 species